rnacentral:misc_RNA from 1 species
UACGUAGGUGGCAAGCGUUAUCCGGAUUUACUGGGCGUAAAGCGCACGUAGGCGGUUUGUUAAGCUAGAUGUGAAAGCCCAGGGCUCAACCGGGGAGGGUCAUUGGAAACUGGCAGACUUGAGUGCAGAAGAGGAGAGUGGAAUUCCAUGUGUAGCGGUGAAAUGCGCAGAGAUAUGGAGGAACACCAGUGGCGAAGGCGGCUCUCUGGUCUGCAACUGACGCUGAGGUGCGAAAGCGUGGGGAUCAAACAGG